UUUUUUUUUAAUUCGCUUUUUUUUCUGUUUGAUGUGAUGGAGGAAAAGAUGUUAUGCAUAAAAUGAUAGUAGGAAGAUCCAUUGGGUAUGUUACUUUUUUUUUGAGUAUACUUUAUUUUAAGCCUACGAGCACAUAUUAUUUAUUCCAUUUUUUGUUGCCUUUUAUUUUAGGCACAAUACCAACUACUGUUUGUUGUUUAAAAUGGAUUACGAAUUGGAACGAGUCGUCAGGAAGUUAUAGAGGAAGCAAAGAUAAUUUUAUUGUAUGGUUUAGAAAGAAAAAAAAAAAAAACAUAUACAACAGCAUAAAAAAUAGCAUAAACAUAAAAAAGGGCCCACCGCGUUACUUAAAAUGUUUUAUUAGUACUAAUAAAUUAAGUACCAAUACAAAAACAAAACAGAGGUGGAAAAAAUAUAAAAACUUAUGGUAUUUUAAAAAGUCAGUACUUACUGACGAUGUAUAUAGUAACGUAUGGGAUGUUAUUGGAAAAUCCUUUUUUUAUUCAACAUGUAGUAAUAACAAAUUUUAUACUUAUGCAGAUAUAAUGAAAUAUAUCGAACGUAAUAAAAACAGCUUUAUUGACUGUGACUGUAGUAAUGAUAGUAGUAAUGAUAGUAGUAAUGGUAGUAGUAAUGAUAGUAGUAAUGAUAGUAUUAAUGGUAGUAGUAAUGAUAGUAGUAAUGACGAAAAAAAAAAAAAAAAAACAAUCAUAGAUAAUAAAUUUGUUAUGAUAAGGGGAAGAGUAGAAAAGAAAGAUAAACAGUCCAAGCGUAUUUUCCUACAAAUUAGGAAAAAUGGUGGUAUGUAUAUUACUUGUGUUUAUGAGAAAAACAAUAAUUUUAACAACAGUGGUGGACGUGGUGGAAACAGCAAAAAUAUAGUUACAAAUUUACAAGACGAAAUGUAUAAAUAUAUAAAAAAUAUAAAAAAUGAAAGCGUAGUUGAUAUAAUAGGCCAAAUAAAAAUACAUGGGAAACUUAUAAAUUGCAAAAUACCAUAUAUAAAUAGUAUAUUAAAUGAGAAAUGUUUAGAAAUAAUUGUUAAAAAAAUUAAUUGUAUCUCUGAACCUUUUAGUUUUAUUCCGAUAAUAAUAAAUGAGAAUAAAAAUCAAAUUACUAGUAGUAUAAAUAAUUUUAUUGAUAAAAAUGCAAAGAUUGGAUAUAUGACAAAAAAAGUAAAGGCUACAAAUAUGGAUAGCAUCAGAGAUAGUACAGUGGAUUAUACAGACGAAACAAGUGAUCCGAGUGUAGAAUUUGUUUCUGUUAAAAAUUAUAAUGAUGGUACCACUAUCAGUAGCACUACAAACAAUAGCACUACAAACAAUAGUACUACAAACAAUAGUACUACAAACAAUAGUACUACAAACAAUAGUACUACAAACAAUAGCACUACAAACAAUAGUACUACAAACAAUAGUACUACAAACAAUAGCACUACAAACAAUAGUACUACAAACAAUAGCACUACAAACAAUAGCACUACAAACAAUAGUACUACAAACAAUAGCACUACAAACAAUAGCACUACAAACAAUAGUACUACAAACAAUAGCACUACAAACAAUAGCACUACAAACAAUAGCACUACAAACAAUAGCACUACAAACAAUAGUACUACAAACAAUAGCACUACAAACAAUAGCAACGAAACAAUUUUAAAAAAAGAAAAUUUGUGCUUAAAUUAUAGAAAUCCAAUAAACCAGCUUAUUGUUCAUAUAAAAAGUAAAAUUUGUCAAAAAUUAAGAAAAAUGUUGAUAAAAAGUGGGUAUAUAGAAGUAUUUACCCCAAAAUUAAUUCAAACUGACACAAAAAAAAUAAAAAAAAUAAAAAAUAAAAUGGAAAUGGAAACUGUAGGUGAAAAAAAAACAAGUUCUAUUGGUUCAUCUGAUUUUUACACGUAUACAAACAGUAUGAGUAGUAACACUUUUUCUAAAACAAUUUUUUCAAAUACAGUUUCUUCUAACAAUGUUAACGAUAUUACUAACCCAUAUAAAAUUAAUAAAUAUAACAAACCGGAUACAAAUACAACCAUCGAAUUAAAUGGGACUGAAAGUGGUUGUAACUGUUUUAAAAUUUAUGGAAAUAAUUUAAUACUGGCACAAAGUCCUCAAUUUUAUAAACAAAUUAUUAUCAACAGUGAUUUUGAAAAAAUAUUUGAAAUCAAUUUUGCAUACAGAAAUGAAAAAUUUCAUACAACUAAACACUUGAAUGAAUAUACAUCAAUCGAUAUUGAACAGAAUAUUUAUUCAAAUUAUUAUAUACUUAUUAUAUAUUUAUAUAAAAUUUUAAAAAAAAUUAAUACCUAUUUAAACACACAUUUGUAUAAACAAUUACAGUUAAUCAAAUUAUCAAAUGGAAAUAUUAAUACCUGUAACUACAAAAACAAAAACAAAACAAAAGCGGGUGAUAAACAACAACAUAUGUAUACUGGUAAACAACAGCAUAUGUAUACUGGUAAACAAAUAAAAUUUGAGAAACACAAAUUUUCCUCCUAUCCUAUAGUUUUAUCCUUUGUUGAAGCACAUGAUAUAUUAAAUAAAUAUUACCAUAAAAAAAAAAAUACAAAAAAUUGUGGUGGUAAUUGUGGUGGUUAUUGUGGUGGUUAUUGUGGUGGUAAUUGUGGUGGUAAUUGUGGUGGUAAUUGUGGUGGUNNNNNNNNNNGUAAUUGUGGUGGUAAUUGUGGUGGUAAUUGUGGUGGUAAUUGUGGUA
rnacentral:lncRNA from 1 species